UACGUAGGGUGCAAGCGUUAAUCGGAAUUACUGGGCGUAAAGCGUGCGCAGGCGGUUUUGUAAGUCUGUCGUGAAAUCCCCGGGCCAUCACUGGGAAUUGCGAUGGAGACUGCAAGGCUAGAAUCUGGCAGAGGGGGGUAGAAUUCCACGUGUAGCAGUGAAAUGCGUAGAGAUGUGGAGGAACACCGAUGGCGAAGGCAGCCCCCUGGGUCAAGAUUGACGCUCAUGCACGAA
rnacentral:rRNA from 1 species